UGCCGCAUAGCUCACUUGGUUAAAGCGUUGCGCUACGAAGCAGAAGUGACUAUCACGAUGCGGGUUCGAGCCCCGGUUGUACCAA